rnacentral:rRNA from 1 species
GACGAACGCUGGCGCCGUGCUUAAUACAUGCAAGUUGAACGAUGAAACCUAGCUUGCUAGGUCGAUUAGUGGCGAACGGGUGAGUAACACGUGACUAACCUGCCCCUUUCUCUGGGAUAACGCUCCGAAAGGAGUGCUAAUACCGGAUACUCACAUCGAGGCACAUGCCUUGGUGUGGAAAGUUUUUCGGAAAGGGAUGGAGUCGCGGCCUAUCAGCUUGUUGGUGAGGUAACGGCUCACCAAGGCGACGACGGGUAGCCGGCCUGGGAGGGCGGUCGGCCACACUGGGACUGCGACCCAACCCAGUCGCCAACUGGAGGCAACAGUGGAGAAUAUUGCCCAAGGGACGAAAGCCUGAUGCAGGGACGACGCGUGAGGGAUGAGGGUCUUCGGAAUGUAAACCUCUUUCAGUAGGGACGAAGCGAAAGAGACGGUACCUAAAGAAGAAGCACCGGCUAACUACGUGCCAGCCGCCGCCGUAA